CUGGCCUCCUCUCCUGCUGGCCAGCUGGGACAGGAGUGAUGAAUGAGCCAUCCUUCCAACCCCUUUCUGUCUUUUCUGGUCCAGGUGUGGCAAAGGGAAGC
rnacentral:pre_miRNA from 1 species